UCUGGUGGCGAUAGCGAGAGGUCACACCCGUUCCCAUACCGAACACGGAAGUUAAGCUCUUUAGCGCCAAUGGUAGUUGGGACUUUGUCCCUGUGAGAGUAGGACGUUGCCAGGC
rnacentral:rRNA from 1 species